rnacentral:lncRNA from 1 species
AAUUUCCAGAGCUCGUAGUAUAACGCAACAGUACAAAUAAUUCAGUAGUAUAUUCAUUCAUGAAGAGACUCUGAAUCUUCCCACCUCACUUCAUAUUGAACGUUCCCCUAAAGCUCAAAGAAUCUCAAGCUGCUUUUCACAGCGAUUUGCUGAAAUUAAGGGAAAAUGUUCUCUUUCACUGGAGAACAUUUUCCCCAGGGGGGUUGGACCAAGUUGAAUUCUGAUGAUUCUUCCUGUGGAUCGUCUUCUUAGAAAUGAUCAAGAAGUUUGGCUUUGUGGGUUAUGGUGAUAUUUUACAGGCGGAACUUUAGGGUUUAUGGCAAGGCUUCAGUCGACAUGUUGAAGUUGAAGCAAAUUUUACAUCCGGCAAUUCAUCUUGUCGACAAUAUGUUUCAGCAGAUCAUGCUUACUAUAAUCUGGUAUUAAAGAUGCGAGAAUUGCUAAAUCGCAGUUAGGAGUGUGCUCUUUCCCAUUUUUUGAGAGAAGGCAAUUCAGGUGCAGAUGUCUUGGCAAAAUUUUAUCUCAAUCUAUAAUAAUAAUGAGGGAUGAUUUUUCAGACUCGGUGAAAGCAGCUUUGCCUGACGACCUUUUAGGUAGAGC